UUCUUUUUCUUCAGCGAGGCGGCCGAGCUGGUUGGUGGCGGCGGUCGUGCGGACGCAAACAUGCAGAUCUUUGUGAAGACCCUCACUGGCAAAACCAUCACCCUUGAGGUCGAGCCCAGUGACACCAUUGAGAAUGUCAAAGCCAAAAUUCAAGACAAGGAGGGUGAGUAGGGCUGGGUGUGGGGGCUCUGGCUGUGAACUGGGAGUCCCUCUCUGCCCAGGGGAGUCUCAGUCCUGUGUGGGUUGUGCUGACUUUAGAUCUGUUUUGCCCUUGCUUCUCCAUGUGAUCUGAAGAACGUUUGUUAUCUUCUACCUCAGUUGGCCUUUUGAGAAACUGGGGGUAGUGCUGGAGCUCCCCUGCAGAGGACACUGCCAGUAAUAUGGUCCGCAGAGCCUCUAACUGAGCCUCCCUCCCCCUCAGGUAUCCCACCUGACCAGCAGCGUCUGAUAUUUGCCGGCAAACAGCUGGAGGAUGGCCGCACUCUCUCAGACUACAACAUCCAGAAAGGUACCGGGGUUGGGGUUGCUGGGCAGGGACCCAAGAUCCCCA
rnacentral:lncRNA from 1 species